GCCCAGUGCUUUGAAUAUCAAAGUGAUGAGAUUCACCCAAGCACGGGUAAACGGC
rnacentral:rRNA from 1 species